UGUAUUUAAAUUAUUUCUGAAUAUUUUACUCAAAAGGGCAUGUGGGAAGUAGGUGCAUUGAAAAUAUAAAGAAAUGAACUAGUUCAAACCUUGGGAAAAUACACUACAUCUUUAACUCCAUGAAAGAAGGUGAGGCUGCAAGCAGCUAGUGCACCUUGACAGCAGCCCCUGAUGCCUAUGCCUUAUUCACCCCUCAGAAAAGGAUUCAAGUGGAGGCUGGAUUUGGAAGUUAAAAUUUUGCUGUAUUUUAUUUUACAUUACAUAUUGUUUUAGCUUUCCUUGUGAAUGUCUUUUCACUAUCCAUUUGCUUACCCUGCAUCUCUCAGCCUUGACUACACUCCAUUCUCUUGAUUAAAGAGAUUACUUUUACCCUAAAGUGUUCCCUUCAAGUUCCCUCCUCACUUGGCCACUCAGUCUUAGUUGUCUCUGUUGUCUUACAGAGAUCUACUUGAAGAAGGAAAAACGGUCACGAUUUGACUCUGCUGUCUGUGAGUCCUUGUUCCCUGCCUCCCCCGCUAACAUCGACCCAGAAUCGGCAGUGCUGAUCUCCUGGAACUUUCACUCUUUCACAGUCUGCUUUGGAAGGACUGAGCUUAGUAAGAAAACAUAGGACUGAGAAGAAUGUGAAAGGGGGCUUUUAGUAGCUUAAUAUUCACUGCUGUCUUAUGACCCUGUCAUAGGCCCACCUCAAAUGGAAGUCCCAUUCUUCCUCCUGUGUUUAGGACUGGUAUUCAGGAAGUGAUUAGAGGUCUGUUGGCUCCCUUAUCUUGCCCCUUAUGGUGUUUCUGGCUCUGCAGUUAUUAGCAUAGUGUUACUAUCAACAACCUUUACUUCAUUUACUUGUUCAAUAGCCAGGUAGGUAGAUGCUAGAUUCUAGAAAUAAAAUAUGAGUCUCAAGUGGCCCUUGUCCCCUCUUCUACUCAAAUUCUGAAUCUAGUUGGCAAGAUUCUGAAAUCAAGGCAUGUAGUCGGUGAUGAUAGAAGGGUGUAUCGAAGAAUUUUAUGAUCUAAGAGGGUGGAACCCUCAAAAUGAAAGAAAAUCAGACCCUUGUAUUACACCAUAAACAAAAGUAAAUUCAAGAGGGGUUAAAGAUUUAAACUAAGACCUAAAACCAUAAAAAAUUUUAA